UACGGAGGGUGCAAGCGUUAUCCGGAUUUACUGGGUUUAAAGGGUGCGUAGGUGGGCAGUUAAGUCAGUGGUGAAAUCUCCGAGCUUAACUCGGAAACUGCCAUUGAUACUAUCUGUCUUGAAUAUCCUGGAGGUGAGCGGAAUAUGUCAUGUAGCGGUGAAAUGCUUAGAUAUGACAUAGAACACCAAUUGCGAAGGCAGCUCACUACGGGUCAUUGACACUGAGGCACGAAAGCGUGGGGAUCAAACAGG
rnacentral:rRNA from 1 species